UGAGGAACAUGACCUUCGGCGGGGGAUAGCCGGCCCAACGGCCGGGUAAUACCGCGUACGACCACUUUGGGACAUCCCUCGGUGGUGAAAGCAGCAAUGCGCCGAUGGAGUGCCUCGCGGCCUAUCAGCUAGUUGGUGAGGUAAUGGCUCACCAAGGCGACGACGGGUAGCCGGCCUGAGAGGGCGAUCCGGCCACACUGGGACUGAGACACGGCCCAGACUCCGUACGGGAGNAG
rnacentral:rRNA from 1 species